rnacentral:rRNA from 1 species
AUACGGAAGGUGCAAGCGUUAAUCGGAAUCACUGGGCGUAAAGCGCUCGUAGGUGGCUUUGUAAGUCAGGUGUGAAAGCCCACGGCUCAACCGUGGAAUUGCACUUGAUACUGCAUUGCUUGAGUUCGGGAGAGGGUAGUGGAAUUCCAGGUGUAGGAGUGAAAUCCGUAGAGAUCUGGAGGAACACCGGGAGUGGCGAAGGCGACUACCUGGACCGAUACUGACACUGAGGAGCGAAAGCGUGGGGAGC